GAUGAACGCUGGCGGUCUGCUUAACACAUGCAAGUCGAACGGGCUCUUCGGAGCUAGUGGCGGACGGGUGAGUAACGCGUGAGAAUCUGCCCUCAGGUCGGGGAUAACAGUUCGAAAGAGCUGCUAAUACCGGAUGUGCCGCAAGGUAAAAGAUUUAUUGCCUGGGGAUGAGCUCGCGUCCGAUUAGCUAGUUGGUGGGGUAAUGGCUCACCAAGGCGACGAUCGGUAGCUGGUCUGAGAGGAUGAUCAGCCACACCGGAACUGAGACACGGUCCAGACUCCUACGGGAGGCAGCAGUGGGGGAAUUUUCCGCAAUGGGCGAAAGCCUGACGGAGCAAGACCGCGUGUGGGACGAAGGCUCUUGGGUCGUAAACCACUUUUGUCAGGGAAGAACACAAUGACGGUACCUGACGAAUAAGCCUCGGCUAACUCCGUGCCAGCAGCCGCGGUAAU
rnacentral:rRNA from 1 species